rnacentral:rRNA from 1 species
GCUUAUUCUUCAGGUACACGUCAUUGUGUUCCUCCCUGAAAAAAGAGGUUUACAACCCAUAGGCAGUCAUCCCUCACGCGGUAUUGCUCCGUCAGGCUUUCGCCCAUUGCGGAAAAUUCCCA